rnacentral:rRNA from 1 species
CCUACGGGAGGCAGCAGUGGGGAAUCUUGGGCAAUGGGCGCAAGCCUGACCCAGCAACGCCGCGUGAAGGAAGAAGGCUCUAGGGUUGUUAAACUCCUUUGAUAGGGAAGAGCAGAAGACGGUACCUGUCGAAUAAGCAACGGCUAACUACGUGCGAGCAGCCGCGGUCAUACGGAGGUGGCAAGCGUUGUUCGGAAUUACUGGGUGUAAAGGGCGUGUAGCCGGGCUGACAAGUCAGUUGUGAAAUGCGCGGGCUCAACCCGCGAACUGCAUUUGAAACUGUGGGUCUAGAGUAUCGGAGAGGGAGGCGGAAUUCCUGGUGUAGCGGUGAAAUGCGUAGAUAUUAGGAGGAACACCAGUGGCGAAGGCGGCUUGCUGGACGACAACUGACGGUGAGGCACGAAGGCGUGGGGAGCAAACAGGAUUAGAUACCCGUGUAGUC